GGCCAUUUUCAUGGCAGUUCGACGGGUACGCGGAGAGAGCUUGCUUCUCUCCGGCGACGAGUGGCGAACGGGUGAGUAAUACAUCGGAACGUGUCCGCUCGUGGGGGACAACCAGCCGAAAGGUUGGCUAAUACCGCAUGAGUUCUACGGAAGAAAGAGGGGGACCCGCAAGGGCCUCUCGCGAGCGGAGCGGCCGAUGACUGAUUAGCCGGUUGGUGAGGUAACGGCUCACCAAAGCAACGAUCAGUAGCUGGUCUGAGAGGACGACCAGCCACACUGGGACUGAGACACGGCCCAGACUCCUACGGGAGGCAGCAGUGGGGAAUUUUGGACAAUGGGCGCAAGCCUGAUCCAGCUAUUCCGCGUGUGGGAUGAAGGCCCUCGGGUUGUAAACCACUUUUGUAGAGAACGAAAAGACACCUUCGAAUAAAGGGUGUUGCUGACGGUACUCUAAGAAUAAGCACCGGCUAACUACGUGCCAGCAGCCGCGGUAAUACGUAGGGUGCGAGCGUUAAUCGGAAUUACUGGGCGUAAAGGGUGCGCAGGCGGUUGAGUAAGUCAGAUGUGAAAACCACGGGCUCAACCUGUGGCCUGCAUUUGAAACUGUUUUUCUUGAGUACUGGAGAGGCAGACGGAAUUCCUAGUGUAGCGGUGAAAUGCGUAGAUAUUAGGAGGAACACCAGUGGCGAAGGCGGUCUGCUGGACGGCAACUGACGCUGAGGCGCGAAAGCGUGGGGAGCAAACAGGAUU
rnacentral:rRNA from 1 species